CCUGGCUCAGGACGAACGCUGGCGGCGUGCCUAAUACAUGCAAGUCGAGCGGACAGAUGGGAGCUUGCUCCCUGAUGUUAGCGGCGGACGGGUGAGUAACACGUGGGUAACCUGCCUGUAAGACUGGGAUAACUCCGGGAAACCGGGGCUAAUACCGGAUGGUUGUUUGACAAACAUAAACCGCAUGGUUAAGGUGGCUUCGGCUACCACUUACAGAUGGACCCGCGGCGCAUUAGCUAGUUGGUGAGGUAACGGCUCACCAAGGCAACGAUGCGUAGCCGACCUGAGAGGGUGAUCGGCCACACUGGGACUGAGACACGGCCCAGACUCCUACGGGAGGGAAUCUUCCGCAGCAGUAGGCAAUGGACGAAAGUCUGACGGAGCAACGCCGCGUGAGUGAUGAAGGUUUUCGGAUCGUAAAGCUCUGUUGUUAGGGAAGAUUCGAAUAGGACAAGUACCGGCGGUACCUUGACGGUACCU
rnacentral:rRNA from 1 species